ensembl:lncRNA
GGUAGAACUAUUUUGAGUUCCAUGAAGAGCCUUGUGGAAAGGGUUCUACAUGGAACCCAAAAGGGUUCUACCUGGAACCAUAUAGGGUUCUCCUAUGGGGACAGCCAAUGAACCCUUUUUUUCUAAGAGUGUACGGACUUCAAACCAUCCAAUCGAAAUGUAGAGAAACAUAGAGUGCAAGGAAAUUAAAGGCUGAUUUACCUAACUCUGUAGACACCGAAGGAAUCUCCAAAGUUAACCAACCCUGUGAGCGAGUUUGAUCAUUUGUCAUUUUAAAUCUUAACAGUGAUGUUAGGCAAGCUUAGCUUAGCUUUUGGAGCAGGGCUUUGUAAACAAAAGGAGCGUAAUGAUGUGAUCUACGUGACUUUAAAGAGUUUCAACCAAACUUUUGGUAAAGAGUGCCGUGAUGAGUAGUAAACCGCCUCCUGUGAAAAAACAAAAUUUCACCUGUGGGUUGGAUGUGGGUAGGGGGGUGAGACCUGUAGGUAGGGUGUGAGACUGGUGGGUAGAUGUGAGACCUGUAGGUAGGGUGUGAGACCUGUGGGUAGAUGUGAGACCUGUAGGUAGGGUGUGAGACCUGUGGGUAUAAUGUGAGUCCUGUGGGUAGGUGUUGAGACCUGUAGGUAGGGUGUGAGACUGGUGGGUAGAUGUGAGACCUGUGGGUAGGUUGUGAGACCUGUAGGUAGGGUGUGAGACCUGUGGGUAGAUUGUGAGUCCUGUGGGUAGGUUGUGAGUCCUGUGGAUAGAUGUGAGACCUGUGGGUAGGUUGUGAGACCUGUGGGUAGGUUGUGAGACCUGUGGGUAGAUGUGAGACCUGUGGGUAGGUUGUGAGACCUGUGGGUAGGUGUUGAGACCUGUGGGUAGAUGUGAGACCUGUGGGUAGGUUGUGAGACCUGUGGGUAGAUGUGAGACCUGUGGGUAGGUUGUGAGACCUGUAGGUAGGUUGUGAGACCUGUUGGUAGGUUGUGAGACCUGUUGGCAGGGGGUGAGACAUGUGGGUAGAUGUGAGACCUGUUGGUAGGUUGUGAGACCUGUUGGUAGGGGGUGAGACCUGUUUGUAGGGGAUGAGAUCUGUUGGUAGGGGGUGAGACCUGUUGGUAGGGGGUGAGACCUGUCGGUAGGUGGUGAGACCUGUUGGUAGGUUGUGAGACCUGUGGGUAGGUUGUGAGACCUGUCGGUAGGUUGUGAGACCUGUAGGUAGGGGGUGAGACCUGUCGGUAGGUGAUGAGACCUGUGGGUAGGUCGUUAAUUUAAUACAUGAGUAGAUCUCUGGUCUGACAGUAGAUUGACUGCUACACUCCUUCAAUAUGGAUAGAAAGGAAUUUCAUACAAAUGUACUUUUCUAUUUAUUUAGUAGUACCCGUUUGCAUGUGAUUUUACACUUUCAGACUUUGUAUGAGAUAAAACUCAGCAUUCCAUUUAAUUAUUUAGCAGAUGUUCUUAUUCAGGGCGACAACAAGUGAAUUCAAUUCAAAAAGCUGACACCCACACACAGUUCCAAGCUCCCCACCGACCUGUCUCUUCCUCCACACAUUCAUUCUCAAACACACGGUCCCAGCUCCCCACCGACCUGUCUCUUUCUCUACACAUUCAUUCUCAAACACACGGUCCCAGCUCCCCACCGACCUGUCUCUUCCUCGACACAUUCAUUCUCAAACACACGGUCCCAGCUCCCCACCGACCUGUCUCUUUCUCCAAACAUUCAUUCUCAAACACACGGUCCCAGCUCCCCACCGACCUGUCUCUUCCUCCACACAUUCAUACUCAAACACACGGUCCCAGCUCCCCACCGACCUGUCUCUUUCUCCACACAUUCAUUCUCAAACACACGGUCCCAGCUCCCCACCGACCUGUCUCUUCCUCCACACAUUCAUUCUCAAACACACGGUCCCGUCUCCAUCUCACACAGACACGGCUACAGGUUCUAUCCUGUGUAUGUGUGUAGGACUUGCGGAGUGUGACACAGCCGUGGUGAGACAAUCUGAGCGGUAAUACACUCCUCAGUCAUCAUGGUUGUGGCGGGGUCCCAGAACAACACUGUGGAGAUGACCUGAUUCUUGUCAUCACGACCACCGGUGAUAAAGAAUUUGUUGUGUUAUUACUAUUAUCUAACACUACUAGUAGUAGAUAACAUUACUGUUGUCUAACAUUACUAGUAGUAGAUAACAUUACUGUUGUCUAACAUUACCAGUAGUAGAUCACAUUACUGUUAUCUAACAUUACUAGUAGUAGAUCACAAUUCUGUUAUCUAACAGUAUUAGUAGUAGAUCACAUUACUGUUAUCUAACAGUACUAGUAGUAGAUAACAUUACUGUUAUUACUGUUGUCUAACACUACUAGAAGUAGAUAACAUUACUGUUGUCUGACAUUACUAGUAGUAGAUGUCAUGACGUUGGCAUGUUGGGGGAGGUUUGUGACCCCCAUGAAUACCUUUCCCCUUUUUCCUCUCUCUACAGAUGUGUCUAUUGAAAAUCCCUUUGUAACAUAGAGAGUCUGGUAACAUCAAAAGUUGGGAAACGGAACCAUAUUUCAGUAAUCCAACCAGUUGAAAAUAUGCGUUGGUACUUAAUGAAUAUGAUCUCAGAUCAGUUGUUGUCUGAGACAUUACUACUGAUGAUAGUAUGACAUAAACUGUAUUACGGAAAAUCUACACAUUCUCAGAUUGUUGUGAAAUUUAAAUGUUUAAAUAUGAAACUAUUUGUGAACAGAUGAAAUGUAAUUUUAGCUUCUUAAUGAGAUAACGGUUUGUCAUUAGAACACCACUCUGCUCACUCAGAGCCCCCCCACCCCAAGUGACCAGACAUUGGUUGUAUACUAUGAAACACGCCCUUCUUUCACCACCAUAUAAACCCGUUGAUGAAAAAUCUACUUUUUAUUCCAAGGACGAAAGGACGGCGGUCCCCACGUUGAAAGGGCUAAGAUAAUAACCUAACGAAAUUAGCAUUGAAUUUCAACGUGUAGAUGGCGGUCGACACUCCGAAAGGAUGAAUUUUGACUAUACCAGCCAGAAUCUAGCAUGAGCUUAGAGUAUGGCAACUUGAUAUGAACUUUGAACUCUUAUUCACUAAAGAGGUGAGACCUCCUAGCCGAUUGAGUUAGCCACAGCAACUGUAAACGUGGGCUAGGAAAGGACGGACGACUUAUCCAGUCUAACAAGCAACGAAGAUACUAUAACGUAUCCAGUUUCCCACCAGAGACAUUCUUCAGAGGACAAGGAAGAUCUCUGUUGAGCAACACAGCCUUCCAUCCACGACCAACCUAUUGAAGCGCAGCUCAGAGUAAAUAUUCCUUGCAUUUUCCAUUUUCCCAAAUGGGCGGUUAUUUAGAAUGUUUAAGAUUCUGUAUUUAUGAUAGCAUAGCUUCUCCCUUUGUUACUCAGUCUUCCCGCACUUUCAUUCAAAACCCAACCCCCUUUCUUUGUGUAUGUAACCAGCCGUCAUAUCAGUUCCAUCCACUAGGGACGUUUUCCUUUAUAACAUAAUUUGUAAUCAAUGUAUGAUCCAU